GGGUAUUGAUAAGCAGAUGGAUUUGAGUUUUUCUAAAGAAUAUUCAUAUUACCUCCUUCUUCUAACUUGCCCUAUUUGCAAAAGCACUUUUGUAGUAACAACUAUUGGGUCCCGUCAGACCUCCAGGGACAGCAAAGUGGUUUUAAUGCAAGCCCAAGGAUCCUUCUUAGGGUCUUAUCUCAAGAGCUCUGGGAGGUGGAAGCAUGGGGUGUGAUCGGUGGACCAGGGUGAUAAGUGUCUGCACAUCUGCCUGUCCCUGUAUCAGCGGCUACCCACCUUCCAAACCACUCAGGGCAGUACCCACGGCACUGGGCCCAGAGAAGCAAGGGAUGACUUUUGGUUCUUGGAAGUAAUGUCUUCUUGUGACAUUGGCCUGGGACAAUCAUUGUGGCCACAGAAGGCUGCAGAGUGAGGGGGCAGCCAGCCUGGCCAGAGGCUGUCCUGUGGACCGACACCUGCGCCCCCUUCUGCAAGCAGGAUUUUCUGGUGCCAACACUCAUCAUUCCCGAUCAACUAGGAUGGAUUUGAGACUGUGCUACCAUGUGUUCUCAAGUGGUAGUUUAAAAAGUGGAUUUUUUAAAGUGCCUUUUAAUUGUCUGUGAACGUCUAAAGGACUGAAUGAUUUGUCUCAUUUUGACUGUUUAGUCUUUAAUGGGUGCCAUUUAAAAAACAAAAUGCUA
rnacentral:sRNA from 1 species